UACGUAGGGGGCGAGCGUUAUCCGGAUUCACUGGGUGUAAAGGGAGCGUAGACGGCCAUGCAAGCCAGGGGUGAAAGCCCGGGGCCCAACCCCGGGACUGCCCUUGGAACUGUCAGGCUAGAGUGCGGGAGGGGCAGGCGGAAUUCCUGGUGUAGCGGUGAAAUGCGUAGAUAUCAGGAGGAACACCGGCGGCGAAGGCGGCCUGCUGGACCGCGACUGACGUUGAGGCUCGAAAGCGUGGGGAGCGAACAGG
rnacentral:rRNA from 1 species